GACUAGGAUUACCGGCACUUGGUCAGGAACACCGGGGGAUUUGGAAUCUUCAUAUUUGCGGGACAUCAGGAAAGGGUGAAUCUGUUUCUAAUCAGCCAUGAGUGUGGGAGCUGGGCAAUGAAUGUACAUGUUCGGGCCACACUAGACCAAGCAGGUUGAGGUCUACCAGUGUUGAAACUUUUGUAACUCUAUUUUGCCGCUUAGGUCGGCUAAGGGAAAAGAAUUGUAAUAUUUUGUAAAACAAUUGUUGGGAUCCCAAAACAUGUAACUUUUGUUUGUAAGGUUAAAAUUAUUACAAGUUUAUUUUUAUUCCUUUUUCGUUUAAAGUUUAAUUUCCACGCUUAUUUUAUUAGUAAUCUCAUUUAGGGGAUUAGGGUUUCUUAAUCAUCUUAGGUAGCGUGCCUAAAUGUUAGGGCGCUACAUUUUAGUUGGUCAAGCUAAAGACUUCACAAUGCCAGGUAAUGGGAUUCUAUUAUAUGAAACUCGAGUUUGCAUUCCGAAUAAUGUGGAACUAAAAAAUAAGAUUCUCGAGGAAGCUCAUACCACUCCUUAUAUAUUGCAUCCUGGCACUACCAAAAUGUAUCAAGACUUAAAACCCUUUUAUUGGUGGUGUGGGAUGAAGAAGGCGCGGUAUAAUAUGUAUCUCGGUGCUUGACUUGUCAACAAAUUAAGGCUGAACACCAGAGACAUGUAAGAUUGUUGUAGCCUUUAACUCUUCCUGAAUGGAAAUGGGAGGAUGUCACCAUGGAUUUUGUGGUUUGGUUACCUAGAACCACGUGGAUGUUCGAUUCCACAUGGGUUGUUGUGAAUCGAUUUACCAAGUCAACACAUUUUUUACCAGUGAAAAUAACCUUUAUAGUGGAUCAAUAUACAGAUUUGUAUGUUAAAGAAAUAGUGAGGUUACAUGGGGCUCCAAAAUCCAUCAUAUCAUAUAGAGAUCCGAAGUUCACCUCAAACUUUUGGCAAAGUCUCCAGCGAGCCAUGGGUACAAAGCUGAAAUUUAGUACAACUUUCCAUCCUCAGACAUAUGGUCAGUCUGAGAGAAUGAUUCAAAUAUUAGAAGAUAUGUUGCGAGCCUGUGUGAUGGAUUUUGAAGGCUCCUGGAGUAAGUACUUACCACUUAUAAAGUUUUCAUACAAUAAUAACUAUCAAAAUACUAUAGGAAUGGUUCCCUAUGAGAUGUCGUAUGGUAGGAAGUGCAGAUCUCCAAUUCACUAGGAUGAAACUGGAGAAAGGAAAUAUUUAGGUCAGAAUCAGUACAACGGACCAGUGAGGCAAUAAAGAAGAUCGAGGCCAGAAUGCUUGCCUCUUAGUGUAGGCAAAAGAGCUAUGCAGAUCUAAAACACAGGAAUGUUGAGUUUCAGGUAAGAGAUCAUGUCUUCCUACGAGUAUAUCCGAUGAAGGGGAUUAAGCGUUUCAGGAACAAGGGCAAGUUAUGCCCUAGGUUUACAGGGCCUUUCGAGAUUCUUGAAAAGGUUGGAUUGGUAGCUUACCGUCUAACCUUGACUCUAGCACUAUUAGCAGUUCAUAACGCAUUUCAUGUUUCUAUGUUACAGAAAUACGUUUCAGAUCUCACUCAUGUCCUGAGCUACAAAAACUUAGAACUCCAGCUAGAUUUUUCUUAUGAAGAGCAACAGGUGAAAAUCCUUGAAAGAAAGGAUAAAGUCCUUCAAAACAAGACCAUAAUUUUGGUCAAGGUACUUUGGAGAAACCAUAAGGUGGAGGGAACAACUUGGGAGUUGGAGUCCAAUAUGAGAGCUUAAUAUUCAGAGUUAUUCAGGUUAAAUUUUGUAGACUAAAUUUAACGGGGGAUAAUUGUAAUGACUGCUUAGCUUUAAUAUGAAAUUUGUAGAUAAUUAGAGUUUAAUUCAGAAUUCAAACUUUUAAUUAUUUUUAUGCAAAUGUGUAGAUAUAUUUGAAUUCUAGGUGUGCUAAUUAGGUUAUAUGUAAAAUAUUAUGUUUUUCAUAUUUUAUGCCCGAUAAUAGUGGAACGUGACGUUUGGCCGAUAGAGUCACCUUUUAAUGGUUUAGUAUUUUAAAAAUAGCGGGACGAUUUAGUUAGACAUUAAGAAUAUUAGGAGUGUUUGGGGUUAUAGGUUUGACCAAAAUACAUUUAGAUUUCAAGGUUACUUCUUAGUGAAGGGAAGGACAAAUUGGUAAUUUUGCCCUCUUUAGUGAAUUAUUAGGAAAUCAACAUUUCCUUUAUUUUAUUAGUGGCUGAGAUAUUAAUUUAGAUAGAUUAGAAAUUUAUAGUAAUUGUAAUUAAUGAAAGAAAAGUUAGAAAAAAAAAAAAACAAGUCUUUCUCUGUCUCUCUCUAAGGGUCGGUUCCACCUAGAGUUUAAGGAGCUCGAUUUUUCUUACAUUUUCUCAGCAAUUCUUAGGGAUUGAAGGUAGUAGCUCUUGGUAAGCAAGUUUCUUUCUUUUCCUUUGAAUUUUGGUAUUUUUUUUUU